UGAUAUUUUGUUUGAGCAACGUUUUGAUUUGUGUUUUCGUGUUGUUUUAUAGGUUAGGUGAAUAGGUGCGAGAGAUGUGAAACUUGGAGAAAAGAAAGAUUUUACCAUAAAUUAAGGAGAAGUUGAUGUUGAUUAGGUGAAACUUGAUGAUUAGAGGCUAAAUUGAAAUAGAGAAAGUGAAUAACAACGAAAAAUGGUGAAUUCCAAAGUUUGAGGACUCAAUUGCAACUUUUCAAUAGUUGAUUCGGACUAUAAAACGAUAAUUGAAAAUUGGUAGGAGUCAAUCUGAUGCAUUUAGGAAUAAAAAAGGAGUAAAAUAUGAUUAAAAUAUCUUCACAAAUCAAUUUUCAACCACGCAAAUAAAUUCCAGAUUUUUAUCCAUAGUUGAGAAUCAUUUUUGACAUAGUAAGGGUUCAAAUUAGGAAUUAUAUCUGAAGCAAAGUUGUAGCCCUUUAAGUUCCAAAACUUGAGAAUACGUUUGAUUUAUUUUAGUUAUUUCUAUGAGAUUUUCCAAUUCCAUUUAUUUGUGUUAUUGGUUUAAUGCUUUCAAUUAAUUGGCCACAAAUUUAAUGAUUUGAUACUAGUCAAUUUCGACACUCAAAAAAGCGAAAUUUAGACGUAUAUUAGAAUAACACAACCUAGGAAAUUAUAGGUUUCGAGAAAAAGUAUAAUUCCGUUGAAGCAUGUUCUACUUAAGCACCAUGAGCUUUGAUAAUUUCUAAUUUUAAUUCAGAAUAGAGAUAUUGAAAUUUGAAUAUAGGAAUAAUUUUUACUCGGCACUCAAGAGAGAGUAGAAUUACAUUAGGGUUCUUACUUAUAAACUUUGGAAAAUUGAUUAGAAAUGAUUAAUAAUUAAUUAACAUAUUUGAUAGUUGGGUGAAAUCAAAAUCCCAGGCUUUCUCCUAUUGAUGAAUCUUUCAAACUUUUGUUGAUAUCAUUGAUAUAGUAGUUAGUAUAAAAUUGAUAUUCAAUCCUCGUGGUUCAACAUCCGUACAAAAUUUGACAACGUACACUUGCGGUAUAAUUACAUUGUAGAAAAACGCAUAACAAUUAGAAACCAUUAACAAGAUGGAAUUUUCUUUCAAUUCUAGCAUAAGAUGUGCAAGUGAAAAAGGAAGCUCAGUGUUUAUUUAGUUCAAACCAAACUCGAGCCUAGGUUGGCAGACUCGAAACCUUUCAAAAUAUCAAAUCCAGACUAUGAUUCCAUCCCCUUACUGUACAUGAAAAUAAUCUUUCAUCUAACAACAUUUAAUUCUGUCACCACCACUCAACUCCCAGGUCCUAAAAUCAGAAGAAUAUAAGCAUAGAUACAAAUCCAAAAACUAAACGCAAAAGCAUAUGCCCAGGCUUUCAAAUGAAUUAUGACCUCCUUCAACGUUUAGUUUACAAAAAAAAAUUAAAAUGUUGCUGCUGCAUCGUCAAAAAACACUAGGUCAGAUCUCGUUAAUUUCAAAAUGACCUGAAAAAUUAACUCACCAAGGUGAAAUUGAUGGCCGCAUUGAAGCUUGGCCCAAGAUCUAUCCCCAUUAUCUGUCACCGCCUCUAAGCAUAUUGAGCACGAUACCGCUGAUGGUGGCGCUGCCUUGCACCCUUCACCUCCUUCAUCACAAUCAUCCACAAGAUCGGUAUCACCAAAACCCAUAAUUUAAUCAACAAACUCCAAAACACCCAAUAAUUACCUCAAAUUUAAAUCAACAAAAAGUAAUUUAUACCAAAAUUUUCUAACAAUAGAGCUCGAAUUAACUAAAUAAUUUCUCAAUUUUUAACAAAUUGGGUACACUUGAGUCGUAGAAAAAUAGAUGAAAAACUGACAACCAUUUUCUUUCUAUUUUCCUAAUUUUUCUCUUCACAGACUUGUUUUUUCUUGUAUGACUUGGUAUCUCUUUU
rnacentral:lncRNA from 1 species